rnacentral:rRNA from 1 species
UACGAAGGGGGCGAGCGUUGUUCGGAUUUACUGGGCGUAAAGGGCGCGCAGGCGGUUCUGUUUGUCGAGUGUGAAAGCCCCGGGCUCAACCUGGGAACUGCACUCGAAACUGCCUUUCUUGAGUGCCGGAGAGGAAAGCGGAAUUCCUGGUGUAGAGGUGAAAUUCGUAGAUAUCAGGAGGAACACCAGUGGCGAAGGCGGCUUUCUGGACGGUAACUGACGCUGAGACGCGAAAGCGUGGGGAGCAAACAGGAU